AAAAACUAAAAAGAACCAUGAACUAGUUAAAAAAAAAAAAGGUCGAAUACAUCAUUUGCCUCCUGAAUGUGCAAAAAAAGGUCUUGUGACCCAUUCUACUUUCAUAAUGAUCUUGUGACACCUUAAAUUUUACUUUUUACAACAAUUGCACACCUGGUAAGAGUAGUAAAUUGGUUGUGUAUAACACACGCGGAUGGCGUGAAAAAUUACAAUUCCAAGUCACAAUUAAUUUUGCCACGUUGAAUAUCACGCAAUAACAAAUUCAUGAAUCAAGCCAAAUCAAACCUAAAUCAGCAACUAGCCUAUAGGAUUUCUCUAAAAAUCUAAAAAUCCCUAUUUUGCCCUAACCCAAAAUCCCUUCUCCCCCUUCCUGAUCACACCACAGCCCCCUCCCCUAUCCCCUUCAUUUUCUGUUCAUUAAAGCUUAAAGCUUCGCUUAUCUGACCAUCUCACAUUGCCGGCAGCACCAUUGGCCACCGCUUCUGCCUUUGUUCUUGUUCAAGCGAUGCUAAUGAAAGAGACAGAUGGGCUUGUCGAUCGAGACAACCCUCUUUCUCCUUUCUUUUGGCAUUUCCGGUGACCUAAGCUCAAGUCCUCUGACUAGAGCCUUUUUUCGUCGUUCAUCCGUCGCUCACUCCAUCUCCGGUCUCUCUCUUUCUCUUUCGGCUAGCACAAUAGAGAGGGAAUCGCAGUUUCACUUUUCUAAUCGGUCCAACCUGCUUCAGCGCUACUCUCUGCUUCUUCGGCAAGACUGGCCACAAGCCGGCGAGACCGUCAAUAAUUUUUUUAUUAUAUAUGUCUAAAUUCAUUGCAUUAAUCAAUGAAGAAAAAUGAAUAUAUUUUUUCAUUCAAUAAUUUACUAGGUACAGAAGAAAAUAAUGAUUUGACAUCUGAUAUUAUUUUGAUUUGUUUUGUGUGUGUGUGUGUGUGUGUGUACUGUUUAUGUUUGAUUUGUAGUCCAUAUUUUCAGAUUUUUUGUUCAU
rnacentral:lncRNA from 1 species